rnacentral:rRNA from 1 species
AUUGAACGCUGGCGGCAGGCCUAACACAUGCAAGUCGAACGGUAGCACAGAGAGCUUGCUCUCGGGUGACGAGUGGCGGACGGGUGAGUAACGUCUGGGAAACUGCCCGAUGGAGGGGGAUAACUACUGGAAACGGUAGCUAAUACCGCAUAACGUCGCAAGACCAAAGUGGGGGACCUUCGGGCCUCACACCAUCGGAUGUGCCCAGAUGGGAUUAGCUAGUAGGUGGGGUAAUGGCUCACCUAGGCGACGAUCCCUAGCCGGUCUGAGAGGGUGACCAGCCACGAUGGAACUGAGACACGGUGCAGACUCCUACGGGAGGCAGCAGUGGGGAAUAUUGCACAAUGGGCGCAAGCCUGAUGCAGCCAUGCCGGGUGUAUGAAGAAGGCCUACGGGUUGUAAAGUACUUUCAGCGGGGAGGAAGGCGGUGAAGUUAAUAACUUCACCGAUUGACGUUACCCGCAGAAGAAGCACCGGCUAACUCCGUGCCAGCCGCCGCAGUAA